rnacentral:rRNA from 1 species
AAUUGGAGGGCAAGUCUGGUGCCAGCAGCCGCGGUAAUUCCAGCUCCAAUAGCGUAUAUUAAAGUUGUUGCAGUUAAAAAGCUCGUAGUUGAAUUUCGGGAUCAAUAUUUCGGUCAUGCCGUUGGUAUGCACUGUUAUCAUUGAUUUUUCACCUUCUAAAGAACCGUAAUGCCAUUAAUUUGGUGUUACGGGGAAUUAGGACUGUUACCUUGAAAAAAUUAGAGUGUUUAAAGCAGGCUCACGCUUGAAUACAUUAGCAUGGAAUAAUGAAAUAGGACAUCCGAUUCUAUUUUGUUGGUUUCUAGGAUCGAUGUAAUGAUUAAUAGGGAUAGUUGGGGGCAUUAGUAUUCAAUUGUCAGAGGUGAAAUUCUUGGAUUUAUUGAAGACUAACUACUGCGAAAGCAUUUGCCAAGGAUGUUUUCAUUAAUCAAGAACGAAAGUUAGGGGAUCGAAGACGAUCAGAUACCGUCGUAGUCUUAACCAUAAACUAUGCCGACUAGGGAUCGGAUGAUGUUAAUUUUUUAAUGACUCAUUCGGCGCCUUACGGGAAACCAAAGUGU